GUAGUCCACGCCCUAAACGAUGUCGACUGGGUGUCGGGAGAGAGAUCUCUUGGUACCGUAGCUAACGCGUGAAGUCGACCGCCUGGGGAGUACGGCCGCAAGGUUAAAACUCAAAGGAAUUGACGGGGACCCGCACAAGCGGUGGAUGAUGUGGAUUAAUUCGAUGCAACGCGAACAACCUUACCUACCCUUGACAUGUCCGGAACCCUGCCGAGAGGCGGGGGUGCCCGAAAGGGAAUCGGAACACAGGUGCUGCAUGGCUGUCGUCAGCUCGUGUCGUGAGAUGUUGGGUUAAGUCCCGCAACGAGCGCAACCCUUGUCCCUAGUUGCUACGCAAGGGCACUCUAGGGAGACUGCCGGUGACAAACCGGA
rnacentral:rRNA from 1 species